rnacentral:rRNA from 1 species
UGGGGAAUUUUGGACAAUGGGCGAAAGCCUGAUCCAGCAAUGCCGCGUGUGUGAAGAAGGCCUUCGGGUUGUAAAGCACUUUUGUCCGGAAAGAAAUCCUUGGCUCUAAUACAGUCGGGGGAUGACGGUACCGGAAGAAUAAGCACCGGCUAACUACGUGCCAGCAGCCGCGGUAAUACGUAGGGUGCAAGCGUUAAUCGGAAUUACUGGGCGUAAAGCGUGCGCAGGCGGUUUGCUAAGACCGAUGUGAAAUCCCCGGGCUCAACCUGGGAACUGCAUUGGUGACUGGCAGGCUAGAGUAUGGCAGAGGGGGGUAGAAUUCCACGUGUAGCAGUGAAAUGCGUAGAGAUGUGGAGGAAUACCGAUGGCGAAGGCAGCCCCCUGGGCCAAUACUGACGCUCAUGCACGAAAGCGUGGGGAGCAAAACAGGAUUAGAUACCCUGGUAGUCCACGCCCUAAACGAUGUCAACUAGUUGUUGGGGAUUCAUUUCCUUAGUAACGUAGCUAACGCGUGAAGUUGACCGCCUGGGGAGUACGGUCGCAAGAUUAAAACUCAAAU